rnacentral:rRNA from 1 species
UUUCGCAAUGCCCGAAAGGGUGACGAAGCGACGCCGCGUGGGUGAGGAAGGCCUUCGGGUUGUAAAGCCCUGUCAGGAGUUAAGAAAUGUAGGUACGCUAAUAUCGUAUCUAUUUGACAAAGGCUCCAAAGGAAGCCACGGCUAACUCUGUGCCAGCAGCCGCGGUAAUACAGAGGUGGCAAGCGUUGUUCGGAAUUAUUGGGCGUAAAGAGCACGUAGGUGGAUUUGUAAGUCAGAUGUGAAAGCCUUCUGUUCAACGGGAGAAUUGCAUCUGAAACUACAAACCUUGAGUAUAGGAGGGGAGAAUGGAACUUCUGGUGGAGCGGUGAAAUGCGUAGAUAUCAGAAGGAACGCCGGCGGCGAAAGCGAUUCUCUGGCCUAUUACUGACACUCAGUGUGCGAAAGCUAGGGGAGCAAACGGGAUUAGAUACCCCGGUAGUCCUAGCCGUAAACGAUGGGCACUAAGUAGAGGGGUUUUAA